UCUCUUCUCCCCCUCGCUGUGAAUGAAAGCAGAUCCUCAGGUAUGCUUUCACCCACAGUUGCUCUCUUUUGGCCGCCAGCAGCAUCCACCGAGCCAGUGGACCGGAAGCGCUGGAUGUGGGAGACAAUUUAAAGGACUUUAAAGGCAGGGAAACAUUAAAGCAUCUCAUUAUGGCGACUAUAGGAGACUUCGACCCUCUAAACUCCACUGUACCUGCGACCAAAAUCGAAGUCACCGUAUCCUGCAGAAACCUUUUGGACAUGGACACCUUCUCCAAGUCAGAUCCAGUGGUCGUAUUGUACGUUCAAGGUCUGGGUACAAAGGAGUGGAGAGAG